rnacentral:rRNA from 1 species
GACGAACGCUGGCGGCGUGCCUAAUACAUGCAAGUCGAGCGCAGGAAGCUGACGGAACUCUUCGGAGGGAAGGCAGUGGAAUGAGCGGCGGACGGGUGAGUAACACGUAAGGAACCUGCCUCAAGGAUUGGGAUAACUCCGAGAAAUCGGAGCUAAUACCGGAUAGUUCAACGGACCGCAUGGUCCGUUGAUGAAAGGCGCUCCGGCGUCACCUUGAGAUGGCCUUGCGGUGCAUUAGCUAGUUGGUGGGGUAACGGCCCACCAAGGCGACGAUGCAUAGCCGACCUGAGAGGGUGAUCGGCCACACUGGGACUGAGACACGGCCCAGACUCCUACGGGAGGCAGCAGUAGGGAAUCUUCCACAAUGGACGAAAGUCUGAUGGAGCAACGCCGCGUGAGUGAUGAAGGUUUUCGGAUCGUAAAACUCUGUUGUAAGGAAAGAACACGUACGAGAGGGAAUGCUCGUACCUUGACGGUACCUUACGAGAAAGCCACGGCUAACUACGUGCCAGCCGCCGCGGUAACAC